rnacentral:lncRNA from 10 species
CCGUGCGGUGGACUCUCGCGAGAGCGCGCGGCGCGGUGACUCGUCGCUGAGGGACUUUAAGAUUGUAGAGGGGCGCGGAGGGUCCUCCCCGGGGCGGAGGGACACAGAGGGAUUCUAGGGAACCUGCCGUCGCGAGUCCCGCUUCAGGCGGAGAAUCUAGGCGGCGGCGGGGCCUCCCUGAGGCGGAGGAGUCGGCACCGGGGCCUGGCUGCCGGGGAAGGAGAGCACGGGAGCGGGGACUCCUGUGUCUGGCGGAGGGACACGGCGUUCCGGUGGAGGGAUCUGUUCCUUGUACCUGGUCCAGGGUUGCGGUCGGGGAUGGAGCGGUUACCCCGACCCUGCGGGACCUUCUUCCUCUGGCGGAGGUGCACGGCGCGGCGUGGUGUUUUUCUGGCGGAAGUAUCUGUGCGUGGCCCCAGGCCCUUCCCGGCGCGGUCUCAUCUGGGGCCACUUGUUGGCCCUCGCGUUGGGGAGGUUCAUGUGGUGCAUCCUGAUGAGAAGGGGGGUCACAGGGGUCUCGGGGCCAGGGUUCAGCCAGCCAGGCCCCAGCUUGCUCUCUUCUGGUGCUGCCCCUGUCCCUGAAUUCAUAGACCCGGCUUUCCCUCUCUUGAGCACCUACUAUGUGCCAGGCUGCGCUUUGCGCAUGUAGCAGAGGCAACAGUGUCACCUGGGAAGCUGGUUUCCCCCAAAGGAACUCUUGUCUGUCCGUUGUUGCAGAGCCAGCGCAUGAGACCAAGUAUACAAGAUUUUAGAGACGGGAUUUCACCAUGUUGCCAAGCCUGUCUUGAACUCCUGGCCUCAAGCAAUCCAGCCUC